GCGGAAACAAAUGCAGCUGGGACUUCAAAGAGUAUGCACAUGGGACCGGCUGGUAUCAGUCGUAGUGGCUGCUGGUGAGCUUCCCAUCACAGGAAAAAAGUUGAACCAGAGAUCAGUCAUGCCUGCAUACCUAAUCAGUGUCAGAUGUGCCUACACAACUUGGUGGCCAACAUGCGGCACAGCCACAUAAGACAAGAGCAGGCCCAGGAAAGGCAACCCUGAUGGGGGACGCACUCCUGACGACCUGGGGCCUGGAAGGCUGCCUCAGCUGGAACCAGCAGCCAUAGCAGCAGCCAGCCUGUCUGCCUCAUCUAUCAUCCCUCUGCUGCAGAGGGCUACAUAUUAAGAGGUUGUUUUUACUGCUGAUUCGUCAUGCUACUGGAAGGGAUUCAAGAGGCCAUUCUGGGGAUGACUUCACAGGUUGUGUAAAACGCUGGGCCGUGUUCGUAAAUCUAUUA